rnacentral:rRNA from 1 species
UUGUUGGGUAGGGGAGCGUUCUGUAAGCCUGUGAAGGUGGCCUGUGAGGGUUGCUGGAGGUAUCAGAAGUGCGAAUGCUGACAUAAGUAACGAUAAAGCGGGUGAAAAGCCCGCUCGCCGGAAGACCAAGGGUUCCUGUCCAACGUUAAUCGGGGCAGGGUGAGUCGACCCCUAAGGCGAGGCCGAAAGGCGUAGUCGAUGGGAAACGGGUUAAUAUUCCCGUACUUGGUGUUACUGCGAAGGGGGGACGGAGAAGGCUAUGUUGGCCGGGCGACGGUUGUCCCGGUUUAAGCGUGUAGGUGUGUGUUCCAGGUAAAUCCGGUUCACUUUAACACUGAGGCGUGAUGACGAGGCACUACGGUGCUGAAGCAACAAAUGCCCUGCUUCCAGGAAAAGCCUCUAAGCAUCAGGUAACAUCAAAUCGUACCCCAAACCGACACAGGUGGUCAGGUAGAGAAUACCAAGGCGCUUGAGAGAACUCGGGUGAAGGAACUAGGCAAAAUGGUGCCGUAACUUCGGGAGAAGGCACGCUGACAUGUAGGUGAAGUGAUUUACUCAUGGAGCUGAAGUCAGUCGAAGAUACCAGCUGGCUGCAACUGUUUAUUAAAAACACAGCACUGUGCAAACACGAAAGUGGACGUAUACGGUGUGACGCCUGCCCGGUGCCGGAAGGUUAAUUGAUGGGGUCAGCGCAAGCGAAGCUCCUGAUCGAAGCCCCGGUAAACGGCGGCCGUAACUAUAACGGUCCUAAGGUAGCGAAAUUCCUUGUCGGGUAAGUUCCGACCUGCACGAAUGGCGUAAUGAUGGCCAGGCUGUCUCCACCCGAGACUCAGUGAAAUUGAACUCGCUGUGAAGAUGCAGUGUACCCGCGGCAAGACGGAAAGACCCCGUGAACCUUUACUAUAGCUUGACACUGAACAUUGAGCCUUGAUGUGUAGGAUAGGUGGGAGGCUUUGAAGUGUGGACGCCAGUCUGCAUGGAGCCGACCUUGAAAUACCACCCUUUAAUGUUUGAUGUUCUAACGUGGACCCGUAAUCCGGGUUGCGGACAGUGUCUGGUGGGUAGUUUGACUGGGGCGGUCUCCUCCUAAAGAGUAACGGAGGAGCACGAAGGUUGGCUAAUCCUGGUCGGACAUCAGGAGGUUAGUGCAAUGGCAUAAGCCAGCUUGACUGCGAGCGUGACGGCGCGAGCAGGUGCGAAAGCAGGUCAUAGUGAUCCGGUGGUUCUGAAUGGAAGGGCCAUCGCUCAACGGAUAAAAGGUACUCCGGGGAUAACAGGCUGAUACCGCCCAAGAGUUCAUAUCGACGGCGGUGUUUGGCACCUCGAUGUCGGCUCAUCACAUCCUGGGGCUGAAGUAGGUCCCAAGGGUAUGGCUGUUCGCCAUUUAAAGUGGUACGCGAGCUGGGUUUAGAACGUCGUGAGACAGUUCGGUCCCUAUCUGCCGUGGGCGCUGGAGAACUGAGGGGGGCUGCUCCUAGUACGAGAGGACCGGAGUGGACGCAUCACUGGUGUUCGGGUUGUCAUGCCAAUGGCACUGCCCGGUAGCUAAAUGCGGAAGAGAUAAGUGCUGAAAGCAUCUAAGCACGAAACUUGCCCCGAGAUGAGUUCU